rnacentral:snRNA from 1 species
GGGUGAGAGGGCGAGCUGGCUGUGCCAUCUGUCCCCCUACUGGUCGCCAGGCUGGAUGCGGCUGACCCGGCUGUCUGGCGGGUGUCCCCUCCCUCCCUCAAUGCUCCACGUGUGUCCCUCCCAAGCUGCACACUCAGUCAUGAGUGUAUGAGCAACUGCGCUCUCCUGCUGGAACCUCUGAACAAGCUCUCAUGAAACACGGAGCUGCUGGACGACAGACAGGUAAGGCCCUGAGGACAUGCGCAUAGGCAAAGACGUCCUCGAUAGACUCUCAGCUCUGC